AGCAGAGUUUGGAGGGAUGAAAAAUGCAGAAUCCAUAGUAGAGUGUAGAGAAAAAAAAAGUCUAAGUUCCGUUUGAGCAAAUACAAAAAAAUUGAUGCCUUUGAAAGAAGUAGAGAGCAUCUGGAUAAGACAGAAGAAAAAAAGUUUGUCUACUUAAUAUUUUAUCAUAAAAGAAUGGGGGGGUGGGGCCAGGGAAGGUAGUAUUUUAGCUUGCCUGGGGGUCCUGUAUAAUAGCUCUAAGCAGACAUAUGGUCAAUGGCCACAAUGAAUAAAAUAUGCAGCCAUAAUGAAGCAAUAUUUUAAAAUUCCCAUCUGAGAUACUGAUUCAUUUGUAUGUAAUUCAGACUUUAAGACUUGAGAUGGUUAUUCUUGCUGAGCUCAAGAACACACAUUCCAACCUUUGUAAAUUUAGUUAGUGAUAUGUGUAGGAGUUAAAUCUUUCUAAUAUUUUGAAGUGAAGACGCUGAUAUUAAGAGUAUAAUAAGUCUAGGUAUUAAAGCCACACAUCCAAAAGUAAGAGAGCUAGUUGCUCAGUCUUGAGAAGGCAUAAUUUGAUUCACAUAUUUGGUAAUGAUUGCUUAAAUAUGUUAGAGACUUUUGUAAAAAGAAUUAGCAACUGAGGUGUAUCCCACAGGGAUGCCUUGCAAGUUCUCCCCCUACAGUAUAGCCCAGAGCUUUUAUUAGAUGUCUAUGCUCUUAUAACUGGUUCUGAAUUGAACUAUGGUUAAUUUGUCCCUUAGCCUAUUUGUUCUCUAAAAAGUUUGUAACCUAGAAUAAUAAAAUUGGCUUUACUGACUCACUUUCUAUUUUCCACUCUCUUUAGGGUUUUGUCCUAACAUCUCCAGUUCAAAAAAAGAAUAAAUUUAUGCAGGGCUUGAGUUAGGGAACAGCUGGUAUUGAAAAUGUUUCUCUUCUUUAAGCCCUCUCCCUUCCUUAUCCAAACAGAGAAAAGACAGAUCUGUUUUUUCCUACUCAAAAGGAGCGGAAUGAAAUCCAAGUCCUCCAAAAAAGAGACGGAAUGCUGUUCUACCUCACUACUCACUCCUACUUCAAACUUUAACUGUUGGACUCACAUCAUUUUUUGAAUGUUAAGCCAUUUUUCAAAGGCAUUAGAUUCCCAAGAGACCACUAAGUUAUGAACACUGAAGACAACCCAGGGUGUUCGCGCCAUCGCAAACGGCACUCUUUUGACCCCCCUAUCUUCCCAAAGAAGUUUGGGAAGACCUGAGCUGUUGAGAAGUUGCCAGUUAAGAAGUCAGUUUGGAAGCCACUUUCAACCAAAGUUGUGUAAUCAGAACUGUUGGUCUUAAGUAUGUGUUUGAGCAAUGUAUUAAAUGGCAUUAACAUGGACAGUAAAAACUUUGCAUUAUUUUCUUCCCUGGGGGCAUAUAAUGCAAAACUUCAUUGACUGGAGCCAGUUUGGUAAAUGGGGCAGAAAAUGCCUGUAGAACUGAUGUAAUGUUAUGAAGAAAGUGGAGCAUAAGAGGGCAUAUAAACUCCUAAUAGUAUUGUUUCCUAGAUUUUCCUUGUGCAGCAAAGUGGAUAUUCUCGCUGCUUUUAAGGGAACAGCCCGAUCACAAUUAAGGCACCAGUGUGUAUGUUUCCUGGCACACACAUGACUAUGGGGCACAGAUUAGAAUUCAUUUCAUCAAGCUUUAAUUUCAUGUUCAGCCCCUUAAAAGUUCCAUAUCUUUUAAAUAUGCUGCCAGCAACCUGUUAUCUGGUAUAAUGAAAAGCAGUGUAACCACUCACCAAAUAAAAUCCCACAUAAAAUCUAAACCUCAGCUUCA